CAAUAGCGUAUAUUAAAGUUGUUGCAGUUAAAAAGCUCGUAGUUGGAUUUCUGAUCGAGACAUCAGGUCGGGUCCGAGAGGAUCAUGUACUUUGAUUUUGUUUUGAUCAUCCUUGGGGAGAGCAUUUCUGGCAUUCAGUUGUCGGGAUUGGGAUCCUCAUCGUUUACUGUGAAAAAAUUAGAGUGUUCAAAGCAGGCCUCGGCCUCUGAAUACAUUAGCAUGGAAUAAUAAGAUAGGACUUUGGUGGUCUAUUUUGUUGGUUUGCACGCCAAAGUAAUGAUUAAUAGGGACAGUUGGGGGUAUUCGUAUUCCGUUGUCAGAGGUGAAAUUCUUGGAUUUACGGAAGACGAACUACUGCGAAAGCAUUUACCAAGGAUGUUUUCAUUAA
rnacentral:rRNA from 1 species